UCCCUGGUGGCUCAGAGGUUAAAGCGUCUGCCUGAAAUGUGGGAGACCUGGGUUCGAUCCCUGGGUUGGGAA
rnacentral:tRNA from 1 species